GGUGGUACACGUGGAUGAUCUACCUCUGAGUGGGGAAUAACCCUGGGAAACCGGGGCUAAUACCGCAUAAACCCGAGAGGGGAAAGCAGCAAUGCGCUGGGAGAGGAGUCCGCGGCCGAUUAGCUAGUUGGUAGGGUAAAAGCCUACCAAGGCAAAGAUCGGUAGCCGGCCUGAGAGGGCACACGGCCACACUGGCACUGAAACACGGGCCAGACUCCUACAGGAGGCAGCAGUGGGGAAUCUUGCACAAUGGGGGAAACCCUGAUGCAGCGACGCCGCGUGAGCGAUGAAGCCCCUCGGGGUGUAAAGCUCUUUCGGCAGGGAAGAUGAUGACGGUACCUGCAGAAGAAGCUCCGGCUAACUACGUGCCAGCAGCCGCGGUAAUACGUAGGGAGCAAGCGUUGUCCGGAAUCAUUGGGCGUAAAGCGCGCGUAGGCGGC
rnacentral:rRNA from 1 species